AUCAUUAGGAGAACUGUUUUGAAGCUUAGUAAUCUGUCACUCCUCGCCUUCGGCUCCCACUAACCCCUCCCUUCAUUCCUAUAUAAAUCGACACAAACAAACCGUCUUCCCACCAAUUAACAGCACAUUUUUUACCAUAACACAAUUUCUCAAUUUUCACCAAACUUCAAUUUUUUUUCUCAGAGAUAAAUGGCUCAAAUUAGCAUAACUAUCCAAGCCUUCGUUCUUGCCAUCCUCCUUGCUGCUGUUGCUUCCUCCGCACAGAAGACUGCAAUGUCACCGGCGCCGUCACCGGAUGCCGGAGCUGCGUUCUCUUUGCCGGCUUCUGGUGCUUUGAUUGGGACGUCUCUGCUUUUCUCUCUAUUCGCUCUGUUAAGGCAAUGAAUUCGUUGCUAUUACUUGAGAGAAUCCCUGUUUUGUGUGUGUUGAACAGAGAUGCACGUUUUCUAUAUUUAUUUGUGUAGUCAUUUGGUGAAUUGGUUUGUUCCGGUAUUAACCUGAUUCUUUUGUUAACUUGUACGUACUAUCGGUUGAAAUAAAAUUCUUUUUUGUAUAUUCUAGUUUGUUUUAGUUCCCCUUUUUUUUUUUUUUAUGAAAUUUUAUUUAUAUCGUUUAAUUGAAGUGACUGAUAUUGCAUUAGUUUGUCGCUUCUUCCUUUUUAUUCUAAUGCAUGUUCAUCUUUUUUUUUUGGUAAUUAAAUCUUGUUGUAUUAA
rnacentral:lncRNA from 1 species